rnacentral:rRNA from 1 species
UGAGGAAUUUUGCGCAAUGGGGGAAACCCUGACGCAGCGACGCCGCGUGGAGGAUGACGGCCUUCGGGUUGUAAACUCCUGUCAGAGGUGAAGAAUGCCCGCAAGGGUUUGACGGUAACCUCAGAGGAAGCCCCGGCUAACUACGUGCCAGCAGCCGCGGUAAUACGUAGGGGGCGAGCGUUGCUCGGAAUUACUGGGCGUAAAGGGUGUGUAGGUGGCUGACCAAGUCAAGGAUGAAAUCCCGAGGCUUAACUUCGGAAUGGUCCUUGAUACUGAUCGGCUAGAGGUAAGUUGAGGAGAGCGGAAUUCCCGGUGGAGCGGUGAAAUGCGUAGAUAUCGGGAGGAACACCUGAGGCGAUGGCGGUUCUCUAAACUUAUCCUGACACUGAGACACGAAAGCUAGGGGAGCGAACGG